rnacentral:rRNA from 1 species
ACGGGUGAGUAACACGUGGGUGACCUACCCCAAAGACGGGGAUAACCCUCGGAAACGGGGGCUAAUACCGGAUGGCUACAGUGUACGGGGGUAUACUGUAGAAAGCUACGGCGCUUUGGGAGGGGCUUGCGGCCCAUCAGCUAGUUGGUAGGGUAAUGGCCUACCAAGGCGAAGACGGGUAGGGGGUGUGAGAGCACGGCCCCCCACAAUGGGACUGGAACACGGCCCAUACUCCUACGGGAGGCAGCAGCAGGGAAUAUUGCGCAAUGGGCGAAAGCCUGACGCAGCGACGCCCGCGUGAGUGAAGAAGGCUUUCGAGUUGUAAAACUCUUUUCUUGGGGAAGAGGAAGGACGGUACCCCGAGGAAUAAGCGUCGGCUAAACUACGUGCCAGCAGCCGCGGUAAGACCGUAUGACGCGAGCGUUAUCCGGAUUUACUGGGCGUAAAGCGCCUGUUAGGCGGCUCUGUAAGUUGGGCGUGAAAGCCCCGUGCUUAACGCGGGGAAGCCGUUCAAUACUGCGGAGCUAGAGUACGGCAGAGGGGAGUGGAAUUCCUGGAGUAGCGGUAAAAUGCGCAGAUAUCAGGAGGAACACCAGUGGCGAAGGCGGCUCCCUGGGCCGUGACUGACGCUCAGAGGCGAAAGCUAGGGGAGCGAACAGGAUUAGAGACCCUGGUAGUCCUAGCCCUAAACGAUGGAUGCUAGGUGUGGGGACGAGGAGUUUCCGUGCCGGAGCCAACGCGAUAAGCAUCCCGCCUGGGGACUACGGCCGCAAGGUUAAAACUCAAACGAAUUGACGGGGGCCCGCACAAGCAGCGGAGCGUGUGGUUUAAUUCGAUGCUACACGAAGAACCUUACCUGGGUUUGACAUGUAGGUGGUAGCGAAGCGAAAGCGGAGCGACCCUUCGGGGAGCCUACACAGGUGCUGCAUGGCUGUCGUCAGCUCGUGCCGUGAGGUGUCGGGUUAAGUCCCGUAACGAGCGCAACCCUUGCUCCUAGUUAUACGUGUCUAGGGGGACUGCCGGCGGGAAGCCGGAGGAAGGUGGGGAUGACGUCAAGUCAGCAUGGCCCUUAUGUCCAGGGCUACACACACGCUACAAUGGCCAGUACAAAGGGUAGCGAAGCCGUGAGGUGGAGCGAAUCUCAGCAAAGCUGGUCGUAGUUCGGAUUGCAGGCUGCAACCCGCCUGCAUGAAGCUGGAGUUGCUAGUAACCGCACGUCAGCCAUAGUGCGGUGAAUACGUUCCCGGGCCUUGUACACACCGCCCGUCACGUCAUGGGAGUCGGUAACGCCUGAAGGCGGUAGCUUGAC